UACAGAGGGGGCAAGCGUUGUUCGGAAUUACUGGGCGUAAAGGGCGCGUAGGUGGCCUUUUAAGUUGAACGUGAAAUCCCUGGGCUCAACCCAGGAACUGCGUCCAAGACUGGGAGGCUUGAAUCCGGGAGAGGGAUGCGGAAUUCCAGGUGUAGCGGUGAAAUGCGUAGAUAUCUGGAGGAACACCGGUGGCGAAGGCGGCAUCCUGGACCGGGAUUGACACUGAGGCGCGAAAGCCAGGGGAGCAAACGGG
rnacentral:rRNA from 1 species